UGCAAAUAUUCUCAAACACAAUAAAUCACAUGGAAGUCCAGUGCGUGUGAAAACAGGCAAAUGCGUGUGUCUAGAGUUGGCAGCUAUGUUGUAGCUAGUGACUACGUUGUAGCAUAUCUAAAGAAAACCUAUAUAAAUGAUAGCACUCCCUUCACAGCUUUCAAUGUUGAUAAUUGUUUGAAGAUGAAUUAAUUAAACACAAUAAAUGAUUCAGCAAAAACGAGCAAACGCCUCCUUGAGCCAGUGGAAAAAAAAGGCGAGAAGGAAAACUGAAAGUAUUUCAAGCUAAUCGUCAAUUUGAAGACAGACGAGAACGAAGAGGCUGAAAAAGAAGAAAUAAAAUUUGAGAAAAGGACAGAGCUACUGGAGAGAAUAUGACAAGUCUUAUAUUUCUGCUGCAGCUGUUCAGUACUAUUGCUGCUGCUGAGAUCUCCAUGCCAGUGGUGGCACCCCCGGGAAGUGACAUCACCCUCAGCUGUUUUUGUCCACUCAGUGACACUGGCCAACUC